CCCUGUGCAUACACCAUGUGGGUGCUAACAUGGAGACCGUGGCCAACGUUGGCCACAAAGCUUCAGGACCCAGAAUGAGGAUUUGACUGGAAAAUCAACAUAAAAGCACUGGUGUAAUUCUGAAAACCAGUGGCCUCGCUUUUUGGCUUUUGCAAAACGAAAAGUGAGCCUCUUUAAAGCAAGCAAGUGGCCAGUACCACCAGGGAAACUAGAGGAUGGAUACCACACAAACUUCUUGUAUAAAAACAUGAAUGCUGAAAUGUUUCCAACUUUUUUAAUUUAAUAAACCUUGUAACCACAUU
rnacentral:lncRNA from 1 species